GCGAUGGUGGUGUAAUGGUUAGCAUGGUUGCCUUCCAAGCAGUCGAUCUCGGUUCGACUCCCGGCCAUCGCA
rnacentral:tRNA from 1 species